GACGAACGCUGGCGGCGUGCUUAACACAUGCAAGUCGAACGGAAAGGCCCUGCUUUUGUGGGGUGCUCGAGUGGCGAACGGGUGAGUAACACGUGAGUAACCUGCCCUUGACUUUGGGAUAACUUCAGGAAACUGGGGCUAAUACCGGAUAGGAGCUCCUGCUGCAUGGUGGGGGUUGGAAAGUUUCGGCGGUUGGGGAUGGACUCGCGGCUUAUCAGCUUGUUGGUGGGGUAGUGGCUUACCAAGGCUUUGACGGGUAGCCGGCUUGAGCGGGUGACCGGACACGUUGGGACCGAGAUGCGGCCAAGGCUACUACUGGAGGCAGCAGUGGGGAAUAUUGCAGCAUGGGCGGAAGGCUGAUGCAGCACCGCGGCGUGCGGGAUGACGGCCUUCGGGUUGUAAACCGCUUUCGCCUGUGCCGAAGCGUGAGUGGCGGUAAUGGGAAAAGACGCACCGGAUAACUAUG
rnacentral:rRNA from 1 species